GACGAACGCUGGCGGCGUGCUUAACACAUGCAAGUCGAACGAAGAGCGAUGGAAGCUUGCUUCUAUCAAUCUUAGUGGCGAACGGGUGAGUAACGCGUAAUCAACCUGCCCUUCAGAGGGGGACAACAGUUGGAAACGACUGCUAAUACCGCAUACGAUCUAAUCUCGGCAUCGAGGAUAGAUGAAAGGUGGCCUCUACAUGUAAGCUAUCACUGAAGGAGGGGAUUGCGUCUGAUUAGCUAGUUGGAGGGGUAACGGCGCACCAAGGCGAUGAUCAGUAGCCGGUCUGAGAGGAUGAACGGCCACACUGGGACUGAGACACGGCCCAGACUCCUACGGGAGGCAGCAGUGGGGAAUCUUCCGCAAUGGACGAAAGUCUGACGGAGCAACGCCGCGUGAGUGAUGACGGCCUUCGGGUUGUAAAGCUCUGUUAAUCGGGACGAAAGGCCUUCUUGCGAAUAGUGAGAAGGAUUGACGGUACCGGAAUAGAAAGCCACGGCUAACUACGUG
rnacentral:rRNA from 1 species